rnacentral:sRNA from 1 species
CCAUAGCCCCGAUUGCAGCGGAAAUCCUUUUUUGCGUAACCCUCGAGUUCAACUAAAAGGAAAUCGUCUUGCAAAAAAGAUUGCAACGGAAAGCGGGAUUAAGC